CCUACGGGAGGCUGCAGUGGGGAAUAUUGCACAAUGGGCGAAAGCCUGAUGCAGCAACGCCGCGUGAGCGAUGAAGGCCUUCGGGUCGUAAAGCUCUGUCCUCAAGGAAGAUAAUGACGGUACUUGAGGAGGAAGCCCCGGCUAACUACGUGCCAGCAGCCGCGGUAAUACGUAGGGGGCUAGCGUUGUCCGGAGUUACUGGGCGUAAAGGGGGCGUAGGUGGGUGCUAAAGUCAGAGGUAAAAGGCGACGGCUAAACCGUAGUAAGCCUUUGAAACUGGGGAACUUGAGUGGAGGAGAGGAGAGUGGAAUUCCUAGUGUAGCGGUGAAAUGCGUAGAUAUUAGGAGGAACACCAGUGGCGAAGGCGGCUCUCUGGACUGUAACUGACACUGAGGCACGAAAGCGUGGGGAGCAAACAGGAUUAGAUACCCGAGUAGUC
rnacentral:rRNA from 1 species